GCUUGUGCUGUGAAGAAGGAGCAGUCAGUGUUGUGAGGGGAAACCACUAAGAAGAAUCACAGAAUAUCCUGAGCAGAAAGGGACUCACAAGGACCAAAAAAUUCCAGCUCCUGGCCCUGCUCUGCACAACCUCAGAACCCCAACUUGUGCCUGAGCAUCAUCCAAAGGCUCCUUGAACUCUUGGGUUCCAGUUCUCAACCAUGCUCUAGAAACCUUUAUUAUGAGUCUGAGAUUGAAGAUAUCUAUCACCCAGCCAAAAAGAUGACUGCACUCUAGUUGGUGAGGACCUGACCAUCCCUGCAGUAGCUUGCUUAAGACAAUCAUAAUUUUAUAUGAAGGUGCUUGCAAGGGCAGUGAAAUACUGAAAAAGAAUCUUCAGGAGUUUGCUAGGGCUGUUGUUUACUUUGUCCUCCCUUCUGAGUGGGUUGGUAAAAUAAAAAUGUGGGUUUGUUAAUCCACUGCAGUAGUUCUUGUGCAGAUAGUGCACUAAACUCAUUUCCAAACCUUUGCACCAUUGCUAAGCACAUAAUAGGUAUUGCCCUUGCCCACAGCUUUCUACUGCCACUUUGGGAUACUUGGAAUAUAAAUGCACUGAAUGAAAACUGAUACUUAAUAUUUAAGAUGCUUUAAAGAAAGGAACUACAUGAAUGUUAAGCAUCAUUAUUAAGCAAUAACAACUGAGUUGCAGGCCAUUAACCCAGUCAGUCAUUAAUCCCAGAGAAGUCUUCUAUGCUGAACUUCUGCUGUUAAUGUUUUAAGCACGGUGCAGAGCAAAUAAUCCAUCUCACAGGUAUAUUGACUCCUUAGUGGGUUCUGCUGUUAUUGUAAUGCUUGCUAUAAUUGAGGUGAAUAUUAUCUUCUUCUCACUGCAGCACUAGUGCUAGCCAGCAAAGGAGGGACAGAAAUGUUUUCUAAGUGUUAAAUCCUAAUAUGAGGAAUAUCUGCAGUCCCCAUGCUCUAAGGAAAGGUACAUCAAAUGAGUGUCUCUCCCUAAAGAUGGGGGCUUGGGCAAAAUGCCAAAGAGGUUCUUUGUCUGCAAAGCAUUUCUCUGUCAGGAAUGCUCUCCUGCCUCACAGUUCUCUCUUCCUGCCAGCACAAGGAAUUUACUCUCUACCCUGCUCUAAAGGCAUGGGAGCAAAGUGUCUCUGACAGGAUGCUCUGGGCCACAACCUUUGCAGCAGCAGGACUUCCCAGCUUGAGGAGAGGGGGCCAGAGUGUCACAUGCACUUCCCAGACAUCUGGACAGACACCCACACCUCUGUCUCUGAGUCAGGACUAGAAAGUUCCAGGUGAUGAGUACAGCAGGCAAGCUCUCUUUUUGGAUGAGGCUGCAGGCAGAGUUUUUUUGUUAAGGACAAGACUUAUGCAGCAGAAAGGGAGAAAAGAGGAGGAUUUCUCCCUUUCUGCUUCAGCACAAUUACCUGCCGAGGAUUUUCCAUGAACAUCUAGAGUUCAGAGAACUGUAUCUGCUCUGCUGUUUUCAGUGCUAUCUGUAACUGAGCUUGUGCACACUGCAGCUUUCCUGACUAUGCAUUUUUUUAAAACGCUCCUCUUUUUUUUUGGAAUAUUCUUUCAUUUCUCUCUCCCCACUAAACUACCAAUUUCAGUUGCAAUAUGUUUAUAAAAUCUCUGGUUCUUUGGGAAGAAAUGUUCUCAAAGGCAAUCUUGAAAUAAGUUUGUUCAGUCUUUAAAAUUAUUUUAUGUCAAUAUUUAAAAAUGAGGCAGGUAAAACACUUUACUUGCCAUUUCUCAUUUUCAUGAAAAGAAGAUCAAUUUGUGCCAUUCUUUGUGCUGCAGUGAAAGCAAGAUGCUUUUUAUUUUCUCAGCCUUUCAUUAAAGGGCUUGACAGGACCUCCUUUGGAGUCUCACACUGACAGCAGGGUGGGACUUUUCCCUGACAAUUUGCUUGACCCAAUAUAGCUCAGCUGAGGAAAGGAGUGAGUUAUUCAAUGACAGAACCCUUAUUUUCACGUUUUUAAGCUUCAGGGCUGACAGAGGCCCGGGGAGGUUUGGAGAGGAGCUGGCAGGGCAGGUCGGUCACUGGGCAGGGGUCACUGAUGCUCUCACUGGUGCCUGGAUGUGGCCGGGGUCACUUCCCACAGGGGACAGAGACUGGGAGCUGUCCAAAAGGCACAGCCAUCCACAAACAGUGCAUUGCACAUAUUCACUUGCUAAUUCUCAUGAUAAAAUUCUUGUCUUUUGUCAAAGAAGCCAAUGCUCAUGUAACAAUUGGUGCCACAACUGAGGUUUUCACUAGAAGUAGUUUUCAAUACAGAAAAAAAAAAUGGUGGGAUGUUUUUAACAGCUUCAAUUAUUAUCUUUAACAUAAUUUUAAAUGUCAUUGUAUUAUUUUUCCUUUGAACCAACUUGUGACUAGGAAUUUGGUUAUGAAAUGCUCUAUUUUGUGAAAACUGAAUGAAUGAGUAUCAGCUAGCUGUCAUGUACUUUUAUUUCCUUGAUCACCAAAGCAUCUUUAUAGAUUUUAAGUGUAUUACUUGUGUUAGAAAUCAAAGAAUAGCCUCAUUAAUCCCAGAAAACUUUUUAAUUUUGACUGACAAAUAAAGCAAUAAUUGUUUAAAGUCUAUCCAAACUUCAAUG